UCCUCCCUCUGGCGGCGUGCUUAACACAUGCAGGUCGAACGGAAAGGCCCUGCUUUUGUGGGGUGCUCGAGUGGCGAACGGGUGAGUAACACGUGAGUAACCUGCCCUUGACUUUGGGAUAACUUCAGGAAACUGGGGCUAAUACCGGAUAGGAGCUCCUGCUGCAUGGUGGGGGUUGGAAAGUUUCGGCGGUUGGGGAUGGACUCGCGGCUUAUCAGCUUGUUGGUGGGGUAGUGGCUUACCAAGGCUUUGACGGGUAGCCGGCCUGAGAGGGUGACCGGCCACAUUGGGACUGAGAUACGGCCCAGACUCCUACGGGAGGCAGCAGUGGGGAAUAUUGCACAAUGGGCGGAAGCCUGAUGCAGCAACGCCGCGUGCGGGAUGACGGCCUUCGGGUUGUAAACCGCUUUCGCCUGUGACGAAGCGUGAGUGACGGUAAUGGGUAAAGAAGCACCGGCUAACUACGUG
rnacentral:rRNA from 1 species